CCUUUAGCUCAGCUGGCAGAGCAUCGGACUUUUAAUCCGCCGGUCGCGGGUUCGAUCCCCGCAGGGC
rnacentral:tRNA from 1 species